UACGUAGGGGGCGAGCGUUGUCCGGAAUGAUUGGGCGUAAAGGGCGCGUAGGCGGCGCGGUAAGUCUGGAGUGAAAGCCCUGCUUUCAAGGUGGGAAUUGCUUUGGAUACUGCCGCGCUUGAGUGCAGGAGAGGUUAUCGGAAUUCCCGGUGUAGCGGUGAAAUGCGUAGAGAUCGGGAGGAACACCAGUGGCGAAGGCGGGUAACUGGACUGCAACUGACGCUGAGGCGCGAAAGUGUGGGGAGCAAACAGGAUUAGAUACCCUGGUAGUCCACACUGUAAACGAUGAAUGCUAGGUGUAGGGGGUAUCGACCCCUUCUGUGCCGCAGUCAACACAAUAAGCAUUCCGCCUGGGGAGUACGGCCGCAAGGUUGAAACUCAAAUGAAUUGACGGGG
rnacentral:rRNA from 1 species